UAUCCAGGCAAUAAUUUGUCCAUAAAAGUCUCAGUUUGGCAGCACACAGCCUGUACUCCUGACCUGCCUAUUGCGAAGGUGUGUCCCUUCCCCUGGACCAUGUCAUUCCCCCCAUCUUUUGAAGGUAACUUUGUUUUCUGCUUUACUAAGAAAAUCUAAUUCAUCAGGCUUUUAGCUUCUUCAUUUGCCUUUUCAUCUUGUCUAAGCUGUCCUUUUAUUAAUCCUAUCUCUCCUUCUGUUUUCAAGAAAAAGCAGAUCUGUUCUUUUGUCUGGGGGCAAUCUUACCUUCUUCCCCUUGGCUGCCUUUUAUUUACUUUCUCAAUGAUCUCCUUCACUCUCCCCAGUCCCCUCUUCCUCUCUGGCAUAUAAAGUCUCCUCUGUUUACUCUAAUCACUGCAUGUAUGCAUUCACGAUCCUCUUUUACCUUGAUUUCAGGUGAUCCUAAUACUGUUUCCAGCUGCCUGAAUAUUUUCCUCUUGCAAAUCUUUUGAACCGAAGACUCCACCUUUGUCUCCACUUCUUACCUCCCACCUUCAACUUCUUGUCUGCUCUGACAUCACGUGCUGUGAAUGCUGCGGAUGCUACACUCACUCUUCUCUGUGUUUGGUCUCCAAUGACCCGUGAUUGGACAUACACAGGGUUCCUGUGUGAAGAACGUGACUCUGGACAAGACAGCUCUGCAGUUGAGACAGACCCUGAAGGAGCUGGAGGCUACCUGCUGACCACUCUUCCCAGCAGCUGAGAAGUGAGUCAUUUUUUGGAGUGGGAUCUUGGUGACAAACCUCCAUGUCUAUCAAAAAAGUAAGUAAUGAUAAUACCUACCUCAUGGGGUUGUGACGAGGAGUAAGUGAGUUAUUAUCUGGAAGAGUUUUUAGAAGAGCGUUUGCUGCUAUCACUGUGUGUACCUAUGUGCACGCAAGCGAAUGUAUGCAAUGCUUCUGUUCCAUCGCCAGAAUCAUGGAGAAUGACUUCUAGAAUGUAGUGAACUAAAGCGAAUGUUUCCACAUCUUAUUUACUCUCCUUCUCUGUUAGAAGGCUCAUGGGUUAUUUUAUGCGUUACUUUGUUAGGCAAUUCAGAUGGUCUUGACUUCUUUGUCUUCUGGACAUGAUGAAUGUUAGAAAUCUUUUCAAUCACCCUGGGCAGUCAUGAUAUAAACCUUGGCCUGUUUUUCCUACCAGAUGAUAAAAUGUGAAGAGUAGGAGCCUAGCAGGACUAACGAAGGAUGUGAUCUAGGUUGGGGCUCCAAGGAAAGGUUGAACAAAUUGUAAAAGGAAGCAAACACACUUCUGUGCAUUGAAUCCUCAAUUGAGACUCUGGGAGAGCAGGAGGCUCUUAGGGCUGACUUCAGUCAAGAAGCUUGGUGUUUAGGGUACACAGAAAGCCCAGCCUGGCUCUCUAGGUUGGCUGGCUUCUGAAAUUCCAGAUUCCGGUUUAUGUUCUGUCUGGGCUUUCUCAAGUGCUGUAGGCUCAAAGUGCAAAGAACUUCGCCCUUUGAAAUUGUCUGAGGUUACUUCUCAGAUUGAAUUGGGUAACAAAGGGCUCACUCUUGUUGACAAAGAACAGAAGAUGUCUGUUUCCUGGGGCAUGGUGAUUGGUACUAGGGUAUAUUCUUUUAAAGAAUGAAGCUAAGAGUAAAGGUUUUGAUUUUGGAAGAGCUUACACUCUGAAGAAAGGAGAGCACAAACUGAGAAAAAUGUGUGCAUAAAAAUAUGAACUUACAUGUGAAUGCUGAGAGAGUGAGUCUACCUCAUGGCUAGGUGAGUUCUGAAAGUGUUUUUGUGGGGAGUCUCUGAAGAGAGGAGUCUGGGAAGACUCUGAGUAAACGUUUGGAAGAAUGUUUUGAGGAGGGAAGGAGAUCAUGACUUGUUGAGAAAGAAGACCCCCUUAAGAAUUCACAAACAUGUGAAUUCCUUACAUAGUCGAACCUUGAACAACACCAGUGUUGGGGUACUGAUCCCCACACACAGUAAAAAAUUCUUGUAUAACUUUUGACUCCCUCAGAACUGAACUACUAAUAGUUUACAGUUGACCAGAAGCCUUACUAAUAACAUAAACAGUGAAGUAACACAUAUUUAGUAUGUUAUAUGUGUUAUAUCCUUACAAUAAAGUAAGCUGAAGAAAAGAAAAUGUUAUUAAA
rnacentral:lncRNA from 13 species